GUCCUGAUAGUGCAAUGGUCAACACAAUGAAUUAAGUGUCUAGUGACGCUAUGGCAAUUUACAUUAAAAUUCAUAGAUGGAGGUUCGAAUCCCCUCAGGACA